UGGGGACCGCGGGCCGCAGCGAACUGACUCUUCGGCGGCGCGGGCCGGAGAAGGGGGCGGGGCCGGAAAUCAGCUGUGAGUCACGUGCGCUGCGCGCACUGUCUGUUUGGAUACAUUCCUGGCGUCUCUUAAAGAGACCGCGCUGCCCGUUUCGCUCGCGGCUUCAACAAUGAUGUGCUGGUCCAUCCAGGGCGCCGAUUGUCCUCCCGAAUGCCCCAGAAUGACUUUUAGGACCCACACGGACCCAUAUGCAAAACACGCAAUGACCUAUGGGGUAAUUUAGAUCCUCCCCGCGACAGCCAUUUAAUAUUAGGCAUUAGCCUCACUGCAAGCCUGAGGCAAUAGAUAACGUCAAAUGCAAGGUGUUGACAGGCAAACCUACUCUCUGCUGGAAUCGUGCGGGCUGGAGCUAUGCAGCCCACCCACUCGGGCAGCUGUAGCUGAUAUUGAGAGAUUACCCCUAGGCAUGUUUGGGACUGGGUGAAAAGCCACCCCUCCCAAAGAAAGCCAGAAAUAUGAGGUCCCUAGGGAGCUAGCUACCCAGGAGCCAGUGUUUCUCUAGAAGUACAGUAUUAGGAAAGCUUGCCGACCAUGGAUGUUCACAGAAUCAUAUUCUGUUAAUUACCGUGCAAAUUUGAUGUCCACAUCUAUGAGACCACCACACAGACAUUAAAGUUUGAGUACCUCAGUGGAAUGCUUGAAGGCUGUAACUUCAAACCUGUACAAAAUGUGUGUCUGUGUGCGUGGCGGGGGCUGGGGGUGGGGGAGAGGCGGGGGACAGACCAACAAGGAAGCAUUUUACAGCUAAAUGGAGAUCUCCGUGGGCUCCCUUCCAAUUGAUUUCUUCCUUUUGAAGUAGCUAUGCUCCCUGACUUUUAGCGCUAUUGACUAAACAGCUUUUCCUAAGAACAUCCUAUUUCUUAAGAACUACACAGUAUUUACCUUUUCGUAUCUGGUUUCUUCGCUUCCACCUGUCAUCAGCUGUGUUGUUGCUGCUAUCAUGUUCACCAGUGUGUCAGAGAUUUCCCAGGAAGCAGGUACCAGUUUUCCAUCACGUGUUAAUGGGUUGUUGUGUUGUUUUGGUUUGGAGCUGCUAUGAGUAACAGGCUGUGGAUGUCGUCUGGCCAGCAUUCCCUUAGGGUAGCUCUCAGGAAUAUACUGCCGAGUUUUAUAGCCAGUGGAUAUUUUGUUUUGUGAAAAACUGCAAGAUCCUUUUCCAAGUGUACGACCUCACAUUGCCACAGAGAGUUCUGUAAGUUGCAGUGGGCAUUUUGUCAUUAGUGGCAGUGACUGACUCUUGAACCUUUGCCCAGGCUGCCAGGCCAUUUAGUCCCCAUUUAAUGAACACUUUCCUCUGUAACCCCCCCCCCCAAUCUUUUAUUUGCCUUCUUCCAAUCAUUUUUAUUGCUUGGUUGGGGGGUCAGACAUACUACUGAGAGAAUCUUUUCUGAGCAAAUAAUUUCCUUUUAACAAGUGGGUGUUGUGUCACAGCGUUUGUAAACAGAAGGCAGUGCGGAGGUGUGUCAUUAUAUGCAAAGUGACUGAAAGGGAUCCAGCCAUCAUAGAGGGCCUGGAGCCUGGUUGGCAGAGUCAGAGCUGGAGGCAAUUGUGAACAAGGAAGAUUAAAACCUGUGAGUCUCAGGUGACGUCACUUCCAAAGAAUGUAAGUGGAGAUGGUCAAAAUAUGUUCCUGGACAGUGUCUGAACAGGCCACUCAUCUGCAGGCUGCUGGGCCUUUGGAUGACUACUGCCCAAGCACCACUUCCUGGGGAAGUCCUCCUGUGCAUUUAUGUCUACAGACGUGGCAUCUGACCAGCCAGUCUAGACCAGGGGAGAGUCUGAUCUGAUAAGCCUCCAAUAGGGCCUGGCACAGUGGUUGUCUACCUAUGGGUUGUGACCCUCGAACCAGCCUUUCACAGUGGUUGUCUAAGACCAUUGGAGAAUGGCUAUUUACAUUAAUUAAUAACAGUAACAAAAUUACAGUUAUGAAGUAGCCAUGAGAAUAAUUUUAUGGUUGGGGGAGGGGGUCACCAGAACAUGAGGAACUGUAUUAAGGGUCGAAGCCUUAGGAAGGUGGAGAUCCACUGGCUAAGCACAGUCCAGAUUCUUUUCUUUGACUCUUUCUUCUUUGCUUCUGUCUCUUUCCUUGCUGGGGUCUGUAAGCUCUACAGAAAUUCUUUCUGGGAGCCAGCGAUGGUGCUGGUCUGUAAUCCUAGAACUUGGGAGGUAAAGAAGGUAGGAGCUCAAGGCAUUUCUCAGCUACAUCGUCAGCUUGAGCUCUAUGAAACCCUGCCCACCCAAACCAAAUACAUAAAGUCCUUUCUGGAAAACAAAAGAACGACGUGAGCAAUGAAAACAUUUGCUGGAGUUACUGAGUGACUCAGUGUCAGAAGCAAGCUUCCCCGUGGCUGUGCCUGCUUGAGUCUCACGAGGACCAGAGGAUGGACCAGCGAGUGGAUCUGACUUACUUGGGUGCCCUUGAAAAUCCAUGGAAGUGUCACACACCAGGAACCUUGCAGCUUGUGGCCUUUUGCUUCCCCUGACCCCAUUCUGAUGCCCCUGCAGUCAGCUGAUUCACUGAGCCACUCAGCACCGUGAGAUCUGGGAAACGAUGCUAAGUAUUCUGCCAAAUGCACAAGAGUGGAUCAGAAGUGAACAGGGACUAGGGACCCUGCACUGGUCCCAAGGACAGUGGCAACGUGGCUGCUGUUCCCAGUCCUAAGCUCUGCCCCUAGUUCCCAUGACUAGGAGGUCUCCAUGGAGCUACCUGAACAUUGUGGACACUUUGACCCUUUGCUAUGCUACUGUAACCAUCCCAGGAAGAAAGGAAGAUAUUGUGGUGUCUCUUGGUCUGACAGACUGUUGAAACAACAGAUCCUGAGGAAGUAGGAAUUUCCCCAGGAAUUUCCCGCUGGGAGAAGGAAAAGGCACAAGCCACCAGGAACUUGUGGGCCUGAAAGAAGUCUCACCCAGGUAACAAGCUGUCAGAACACCGCAGGAUGAGACUGAAGGCCAGAUAAUGACAGGUCCACAGUAAGCAGGAAAACAGAACCCUCUCUGGCACUGCUUGGAUAGGCUCAUCCUUGGCCCUCAAUUUAAACUCUGAUCUCACUUCAAGACCUUGAAGACUUGAGGAUUUGCUGGAACUCCUUAUCACUGUGCCACAUUGAAUAAAUCUUUUUUUUUCUUUUUUUUCCCUGA